UGAGCUGGUGUGGGCCGCAGAGACCAGUGAGAAGCGACUGUUUACUAAAAACACAGGUCCGUGCGAAGUCGUAAGACGAUGUAUACGGACUGACGCCUGCCCGGUGCUGGAAGGUUAAGAGGACCGGUUAGCCAGUAAUGGCGAAGCUGAGAAUUUAAGCCCCAGUAAACGGCGGUGGUAACUAUAACCAUCCUAAGGUAGCGAAAUUCCUUGUCGGGUAAGUUCCGACCUGCACGAAUGGCGUAACGACUUCUCAGCUGUCUCAACCAUAGACUCGGCGAAAUUGCAUUACGAGUAAAGAUGCUCGUUACGCGCGGCAGGACGAAAAGACCCCGGGACCUUCACUACAGCUUGGUAUUGGUGUUCGGUUCGGUUUGUGUAGGAUAGGUGGGAGACUGUGAAGCGGUGACGCCAGUUACUGUGGAGUCGUUGUUGAAAUACCACUCUGAUCGUAUUGGAUACCUCAACCUCGGACCAUGAUCUGGUUCAGGGACAGUGCCUGGUGGGUAGUUUAACUGGGGCGGUUGCCUCCUAAAAUGUAACGGAGGCGCCCAAAGGUUCCCUCAGCCUGGUUGGCAAUCAGGUGUCGAGUGCAAGUGCACAAGGGAGCUUGACUGUGAGACUGACAAGUCGAGCAGGGACGAAAGUCGGGACUAGUGAUCCGGCACCGGCAAGUGGAAGCGGUGUCGCUCAACGGAUAAAAGGUACCCCGGGGAUAACAGGCUGAUCUUCCCCAAGAGUCCAUAUCGACGGGAUGGUUUGGCACCUCGAUGUCGGCUCGUCGCAUCCUGGGGCUGGAGUAGGUCCCAAGGGUUGGGCUGUUCGCCCAUUAAAGCGGCACGCGAGCUGGGUUUAGAACGUCGUGAGACAGUUCGGUCUCUAUCCGCCGCGCGCGUAAGAAACUUGAGGAAGGCUGUCCCUAGUACGAGAGGACCGGGACGGACGAACCUCUGGUGUGCCAGUUGUUCCACCAGGAGCACCGCUGGUUGGCUACGUUCGGAAGGGAUAACCGCUGAAAGCAUCUAAGCGGGAAGCCUGUUCCAAGAUGAGGUUUCUCACCCCCUCGAGGGGGUAAGGCCCCCGGCAGACCACCGGGUUGAUAGGCCAGAACUGGAAGUACAGCAAUGUAUGCAGGUGACUGGUACUAAUAGGCCGAGGACUUACCACA
rnacentral:rRNA from 4 species